CCUACACCCCAUGGCAUCUUGUAGGAAUGCACCGUAUGACGGCGAUGAUCUUUACGCGACGACUUGGAUUGCCGGCCGUGUGGCGGUGGAGACCUCCUCGCGCGGACAAGUACAAGCAAAUGCACCCUGGACGAGCAUUUUUUUACCCUUCCCCCUCUUCCUCUGAGAUCACCCACCUUCUCCUCGAUCAGUCCGGAAUAGUUGAUUAUCAUGACCUUUCCUACGGUAGACCGUGUGUGUGUGUAUGUGAGUGCUCUCUGCGGUUGCGACAACGGCGCAAAAUAUGAACUUCCCAGUGUUUGAUUCCGGGCGUGAAGUUUGUUUUCGCUUCUUCUUGAUUUUUUUUUUGCUGCGAUCUUCGAGUCUUGUAGGUAUAAGGCGUACGUACACGUAGUCGGUAAACGGACCUGGCCGCUGAAGGUGUUCUAGUUCGGUACAGAACGGGUAGAGUAUGGGUAAUCUUCAUGAAGGUCCAAGUUCCGGUUCAACUUGUAUCAUUUGGCUUAGUCCCCAAGUACAAGUACUAAUCCUCAACCUAGCUAGUGGCGCAAUGCAACGCGAGAUGCAGACUGUGACAGACCAUUCUGGUGGGGCUUGCGGGGGGACGCAGGCCAGGGUGAACCGGCUGCCGGCCCGGUCUGGUUGACCGACGACGAGAAGUCGACGUCGUAUGUCUUCGAAUCCGGUCUGGUAUUUUGAGGGUGGUGGGUGCAGUUGGAGGAGAGUAUUGGUUUUUGUACGCAGCAAAACAGCCCUUUAAAGGAGUUCGGAAGGUGUUGGCACUACGUAAGGAAUGUGGCAAAAGUGUGGCCCGAACGAGCAAUGUUACGCAGAUAUACUGAAGUAUAAAUGGCCGCGUCGUAAAUCUGCUGGAAAUGCCAAGGGUUUGCAGUUGCAGAGUUUGUGACCAAUCGGGUGGCAUAUUUCACUGGUUUCUCGUGUUCAGCUCUCCUUUGUAGGUUCCUGUAUUUAAACUAAAACUAGUUCAAUUUACAUAACAAAAUUAAAAAAUUGUUUAUUUUUAUUUAUUUUUUGAUGUUUGAGUUUGUACUAAAACAUGUGUUCUGCUUGGAAAACUUCAUUUAUGAUAUAUUUUUUUAUAUAUUUGGGUAAUUCUCUACCUUCGUGAGUGGGAAAAGUUGCCCCGACCCCUCUUCGAUUUGCGUGAAACUUUGUCCUAAGGGGUAACUUUUGGCCCUGAUCACGAAUCCGAGGUCCGUUUUUUGAUAUCUCGUGACGGAGAGACGGUACGACCCCUUCCAUUUUUGAACAUGCGAAAAAGAGGUGUUUUUCAACAAUUUGCAGCUUUAAACGGUGAUGAGAUAGAAAUUUGGUGUCAAAGGGAAUUUUAUGUAAAAUUGUACGCCCGAUUUGAUGGCGUACUCAGAAUUCCAAAAAAACGUAUUUCUCAUUAAAAAAACCCUUAAUUUUUUUUUAAACUGUGCCAUUUUCCGUUACUCGACUGUUAAUUUUUUUGGAACAUGUCAUUUUAAGGGAAAUUUAUUUUAAAUCUAAAAUAACCCAGAAGGGUAUUUUUUCAUUGAGAACAAAAUUUUUCAUUUUACAAUUUAGUAUUUUUUCUAACUUUGCAGGGUUAAUUUUAAGAGUGUAACAAUAAUCUACAAAGUUGUAACCCAGACAAUUACAAAAAUAAAAUGAUAUACAAACAUAAGGGGUUUGUUUGUAAUCAUUAUGAGCUCUCGCGAUUUUAUGCAAAAAAGUUUUGAAAAAGGUUUUGUUUGUGUUUAUUUUGCCAUUCGUGUCUGUCACGGCUGAGGAUGAACGGCCAUGAUCAACGACGACCAACUUUAAAAAAAAAAAAAAUCGUAAAAUCACGAUAACUUGUGAUGUUUAUAAGAAAACCCCUUAUGUUUAUAUAUCGAAUUUUUUGUAAUUGUCUGCUCUAUAACUUUGUAGACCAUUGUUACACUCUAAAAAUUAACCCUGCAAUGCAAGAAAAAAACACGAAAUUGUAAAAUGAAAAUUUUUCAUCUAAAUGAAAAAUGAUACUUCUGGGUUAAUGUAAAGUCGAAAAGUACAUUAAAUUUCCCUUAAAAUGACAUGUUCUUAAUUUUUUUACAGUUGAGUGAAGGAAAAUGGCAGAGUUUUGAAAACUUUUUUAGUGUUUUUUUCGAUGAAAAAUACGUUUUUUCGGAUUUUGAGUACAUAAAGUCCCUUUAACUUAAUUUCUGUCUCAUCACCGUUUCAGGCUGCAAAUUAUUGAAAAACACCUCUUUUUUCGCAUGUUCGCAUGAAAGGGGUCGUACCGCCUCUCCGUCAUUAGAUAUAAAAAAAACGGACCUUGGAUUCGUGGUCAGGGACAAAAGAUACCCCUUUAGACAAAGUUUCACGCAAAUCGAAGAGGGGUCGGGGCAACUGCUGUGUGAGUUGGCGGAGAAUUACCCAUCUAUAAUUUCCACAGCUAUUUCCAAUUUUGUGUUGAGAAUAAUGAAAUUAAAAUGCCUAAACACUUUAUAGUUGAUGUAAGUUACUAUCAUGCGGAAUUUGUUGAGAAGGUGAUAUUCUACAUGACAUGAAAUAUGAUGCAAUCGGAACAGUAGCAGAGUGGUUCAGUUUCAUCAUGAGUUCUGCCAA